rnacentral:rRNA from 1 species
GGAGUUAGGACCGUGUCUCAGUUCCUAUGUGGGGGACCUUCCUCUCAGAACCCCUAACGAUCGUCGCCUUGGUGGGCCGUUACCCCGCCAACAAGCUAAUCGUACGCAUCCCCAUCGGUGUACCGAUAAAUCUUUAAUCGGGUAAAGAUGUCUUCACCCGACCACAUCCGGUAUUAAUCCUCCUUUCAGAGGGCUAUCCCGGAGUACACGGCAGGUUGGAUACGCGUUACGCACCCGUGCGCCGGUCGCCAUCUAUCAAAGCAAGCUUCGAUAAUGCUGCCCCUCGACUUGCAUGUGUUAAGCCUGUAGCUAGCGUUCAUC